GACGAACGCUGGCGGCGUGCUUAACACAUGCAAGUCGAACGAAGUGGCGAACGGGUGAGUAAUACGUGGGUAACCUGCCCUCCUUUUUGGGAUAAGCCUUCGAAACGGGGUCUAAUACCGAAUAAAGGGGGAUGGUCUCGCGGUCUAUCAGCUUGUUGGUGGGGUGAUGGCCUACCAAGGCGGUUACGGGUAGCCGGCCUGAGAGGGUGUCCGGCCACAUUGGGGCGGAGAUAGGGCCGAGACUAGUACGGGAGGCAGCAGUGGUGAGUAUUGCACAAUGGGCGAAAGCAUGAUGCAGAGGCGCCGCGAGGGGGAAGAAGGCUUUCGGGUUGUAAACCUCUUUCGCAAGCGAACGGGUAGGUGGGGAAGAAGCGCCGGCUAACUACGUGCCAGCAGCCGCGGUAAUUC
rnacentral:rRNA from 1 species